rnacentral:tRNA from 1 species
AUUAGGAUGUCUGAUUUAGGUGAUAAAUUGUAAAUUUAUUUAAGGUAAAAAACCUCCUACUA